rnacentral:rRNA from 1 species
UACGUAGGGUGCAAGCGUUAAUCGGAAUUACUGGGCGUAAAGCGUGCGCAGGCGGUUAUGUAAGACAGUUGUGAAAUCCCCGGGCUCAACCUGGGAACUGCAUCUGUGACUGCAUAGCUAGAGUACGGUAGAGGGGGAUGGAAUUCCGCGUGUAGCAGUGAAAUGCGUAGAUAUGCGGAGGAACACCGAUGGCGAAGGCAAUCCCCUGGAUCUGUACUGACGCUCAUGCACGAAAGCGUGGGGGAGCAAACAGGAUUAG